rnacentral:tRNA from 1 species
GCGGGCGUAGCUCAAUGGUAGAGCCACAGCCUUCCAAGCUGAAGACGUGGGUUCGAUUCCCAUCGCCCGCUCCA